CCUACGGGUGGCAGCAGUGGGGGAUAUUGCACAAUGGGGGAAACCCUGAUGCAGCGACGCCGCGUGGGUGAAGAAGCGCCUCGGCGCGUAAAGCCCUGUCAGCAGGGAAGAAAAUGACGGUACCUGAAGAAGAAGCCCCGGCUAACUACGUGCCAGCAGCCGCGGUAAUACGUAGGGGGCAAGCGUUAUACGGAUUUACUGGGUGUAAAGGGGGCGCAGAUGGCGAUGCAAGCCAGGAGUGAAAGCCCGGGGCCCAACCCCGGGACUGCUAUUGGAAAUGCGUGGCUAGAGUGCAGGAGGGGCAGGCGGAAUUCCUGGUGUAGCGGUGAAAUGCGUAGAUAUCAGGAGGAACACCGGUGGCGAAGGCGGCCUGCUGGACUGCAACUGACGUUGAGGCCCGAAAGCGUGGGGAGCAAACAGGAUUAGAUACCCCAGUAGUC
rnacentral:rRNA from 1 species